rnacentral:rRNA from 1 species
UACGGGGUGUGCAAGCGUUGUUCGGAAUUAUUGGGCGUAAAGAGCGUGUAGGCGGCUGAAUAAGUCUGAUGUGAAAGCCCGGGGCUCAACCUCGGAAGUGCAUUUGAAACUGGAUAGCUUGAGUACGGGGGAGGGUAGUGGAAUUUCGAGUGUAGGGGUGAAAUCCGUAGAUAUUCGAAGGAACACCGGUGGCGAAGGCGGCUGCCUGUACUGACCCUGACGCUGAGGUGCGAAAGCGUGGGGAGCAAACAGG